rnacentral:rRNA from 1 species
GACGAACGCUGGCGGCGUGCUUUACACAUGCAAGUCGAACGAUGAAGAAACGAAUCGAAGCUUCGGUAGAGAUUCAUUUCGGAUUAGUGGCAGACGGGUGAGUAACGCGGCAGCGACCUACCUCUUACAAAGGGAUAGCCUCGGGAAACCGGGAUUAAUACCAUAUAACAUUGCGACGAAGCAUUUCGGUGCAAUCAAAGCUACGGCGGUAAGGGCGGGGUUCGCGUCCCAUUAACCGGAGGGUGAGGUAACGGCUCACCAUAGGGACGACGGGUAACCGGCCUGUGAGGGUGGACCGUCACACUGGAACGGAGACACGGUCCGGACUCCUACGGGAGGCAGCAGUGUGGAAUAUAGCACUAUGGAGGGAACUCUGAUGCAGCGACGGCGGGAGAGUGAUGAAGGAAUUCGUUUCGUGCAACUCUGUUCUAUGGAAAGAAAAGGACGGUACCUUAGGAGAAAGCUCCGGCUAAAUACGUG